GAUGAACGCUGGCGGCGUGCCUAAUACAUGCAAGUCGAGCGAAUGGAUUAAGAGCUUGCUCUUAUGAAGUUAGCGGCGGACGGGUGAGUAACACGUGGGUAACCUGCCCAUAAGACUGGGAUAACUCCGGGAAACCGGGGCUAAUACCGGAUAACAUUUUGAACCGCAUGGUUCGAAAUUGAAAGGCGGCUUCGGCUGUCACUUAUGGAUGGACCCGCGUCGCAUUAGCUAGUUGGUGAGGUAACGGCUCACCAAGGCAACGAUGGGUAGCCGACCUGAGAGGGUGAUCGGCCACGCGGGGACUGAGACACGGCCCAGACUCCUACGGGAGGCAGCAGUAGGGAAUCUUCCGCAAUGGACGAAAGUCUGACGGAGCAACGCCGCGUGAGGGAUGAAGGCUUUCGGGUCGUAAAACCCUGUUGUUAGGGAAGAACAAGUGCUAGUUGAAUAAGCUGACACCUUGACGGUACCUAACCAGAAAGCCACGGCUAACUACGUGCCAGCCGCCGCCGUAA
rnacentral:rRNA from 1 species